rnacentral:misc_RNA from 1 species
AACAUCGCGCACCUGCGGGAACCUGCGGAGGGAUCAUUACAGAGUUGCAAAACUCCCUAAACCAUUGUGAACGUUACCUAAACCGUUGCUUCGGCGGGCGGCCCGGGUCCUUCCCGGCGCCCCUCGGCCCUCGCGGGCGGCCGCCGGAGGUAAACCAAACUAUUGCAUUGUAUGGCCUCUCUGAGUCUUCUGUACUGAAUAAGUCAAAACUUUCAACAACGGAUCUCAGAUCGGAAGAGC